AUAUGAAGUCGGGCCUGCCCAGUGAAUCGUUUCAACGGCCGCGGUACUCUGACCGUGCAAAGGUAGCAUAAUCAUUUGCCUUAUAAUUGAAGGCUGGAAUGAAUGGUUUGACAAGAAUAUUACUGUCUCUAGGAAAUUAAUUAGAAUUUUAUUUUUAGGUGAAAAAGCCUAAGUUUUAUUGAUAGACAAGAAGACCCUAUCGAGCUUAAAAGAAAUAGGUAAAAUGUUUUUUAUUAUUUAAAAUUAAAGUUUAUCGAAGGAUUUUGGUUGGGGUAACUAAGGAGUAAUUAAAGCCUCCUGUAUUUAUUAAGAUUUUAUUUAUUUUGAUCCAGAAAAGUCUGAUUAAAAGAAUUAGUUACCGUAGGGAUAACAGCAUUAUCUUUUUUGAGAGCUCUUAUCGAAAAAAAGGUUUGUGACCUCGAUGUUGGACCAGAAUGUCCUAAAGAUGCAGAAGUCUUUAAGGGUUGGUCUGUUCGACCAUUAAUAUUCUA
rnacentral:rRNA from 1 species